UAUUGCACAAUGGGGGAAACCCUGAUGCAGCGACGCCGCGUGAGCGAAGAAGUAUCUCGGUAUGUAAAGCUCUAUCAGCAGGGAAGCAAAUGACGGUACCUGACUAAGAAGCUCCGGCUAAAUACGUGCCAUCAGCCGCGGUAACACGUAUGGAGCAAGCGUUAUCCGGAUUUACGGGGUGUAAAGGGAGCGUAGGCGGUAAGGCAAGUCUGAUGUGAAAGGCCGGGGCUCAACCCUGGGACUGCAUUGGAAACUGUUUAACUGGAGUGUCGGAGAGGCAAGUGGAAUUCCUAGUGUAGCGGUGAAAUGCGUAGAUAUUAGGAGGAACACCAGUGGCGAAGGCGGCUUGCUGGACGAUGACUGACGCUGAGGCUCGAAAGCGUGGGGAGCAAACAGGA
rnacentral:rRNA from 1 species